UUAGUUGCUCCAGGUCCACCUUUUCUUGUAGGUGAAAAAAUUUGAAGGGGGUGGUGUUUGCACACUGAACGGCAGGCCCGAUGACUGUGAUUAGAAGUCCCAGGUUAAUAGGUUUCUGACCCCAGUGCCCUAAUCUGCCUUGGCUUUUCCUGGUUGCCACCCACGUGCUCUUACAAAAGGUCUUACAAAAGGUCUUGUCUAGAUUGAAUACAGGAGCUGUGGGCCUUCUGGAGUCCUUCAACAAUGCAGACAUUGGACAGCCUUCUGCGCCUUUUAAGGAUGCCCGUAUUAUUUUUUGUUUGGUGUCUUGCUUGUUUGCACAUUUAACAAAAACCUACGGUAGGUGGUAAGAAAAUGAAGACUGUCAGAACUGGUGGACAACUCAUCUUCAACUCCAGUCCCUAAAAGUGGAGUGCAAAAGGAAUUAACUCUAGCCCAAGACGUGGUGAAGAGUCGGAUGCUUGUUUCCUAGUUAUUCUUGAGGAAGAAAUGGCAAACUGCAGAGUUCCCAGAUGUUAUGGAUGACCUCUCCUCAUCAUUACAGGUUCCCGAGAAUGUGAGUCCUAAGUCUGCACCUUUCGUCAAGAGUUCUAGGUUCACAUUUUCAGCUGUUUGUGGGUUGUUGGAUAUUUCUACAUGCAUGUCUUAUUGUCAGUUCUGACUCAGAAGCUCCAAAAACUUCUCCAAUAAACCUUUUUUUCCUAA